UACGGAGGGGGCUAGCGUUGUUCGGAAUUACUGGGCGUAAAGCGCACGUAGGCGGCUUUACAAGUCAGGGGUGAAAGCCCGGGGCUCAACCCCGGAAUUGCCUUUGAGACUGGAUUGCCAGAAUCCGGGAGAGGUGAGUGGAAUUCCGAGUGUAGAGGUGAGAUUCGUAGAUAUUCGGAAGAACACCAGUGGCGAAGGCGGCUCACUGGACCGGCAUUGACGCUGAGGUGCGAAAGCGUGGGGAGCAAA
rnacentral:rRNA from 1 species